rnacentral:lncRNA from 1 species
UGCAAAGUGUGGCACGGUAAGUGUUUGAUGGAUGCUUCAAUGAAGGUGUGAGGGUGAAUCAAGGAAUCUCAAGCUCCGAAAGCCUUCCAAGAGGGAAGGAAGCUAGAGGAGAAGGUGCAGAAGAGGCACAAGUGUUUGAACUCUGAAAAAUGAUUCUGGAGAAUUCUCAACAGCAUUUCAUUAAGUUUCAAAGUUAGCUUUUACAAUGUAAGGAUACUUCCUUUUAUAGAUGAAGGAGUGACCCAAAAAACGUGCUAAGGAAGCUAUUCUAAGUGUAAAAGAAGCUUGCUAAGGAAGCUACACAGUCUGGGAAACUUGGAAGGCAAGAUACAGCCCUGCCAUGUCAACAAUCCGUGUGCAGAAGAUGAUCCUGGAUUUCUGGCGCUGGCACCUGGGCGCCCUUUUUAGGGGGCACUAGAGCUCCACCUGCUUCCUGGUUUCUGGCGCCUGGGCGCCCUUUUAGGGGGCGCUGGAGCGCCACCUGCUUCCUUUUUGGUUUUCUUGAUUUGCAUCCUUGGUAGCCUUCCUUAUUUGUAUGUACAUGGUUUCUCCUCUUUAUUAAGAACCUACAAAACAAAGUAAAGGUUAUUUAGCAAAGAGAAAGA